CAGCAGCCGCGGUAAUACGUAGGGUGCGAGCGUUAAUCGGAAUUACUGGGCGUAAAGCGUGCGCAGGCGGUUGUGUAAGACAGGUGUGAAAUCCCCGGGCUUAACCUGGGAACUGCGCUUGUGACUGCACAGCUAGAGUAUGGCAGAGGGGGGUGGAAUUCCACGUGUAGCAGUGAAAUGCGUAGAGAUGUGGAGGAACAUCAGUGGCGAAGGCGGCCAUCUGGGACAACACUGACGCUGAGGCACAAAAGCGUGGGGAGCAAACAGGAUUAGAGACCCGCGUAGUCCCUGUCUCUUAUAC
rnacentral:rRNA from 1 species